CAGAAUGUUUUGAUAGUCAACAUGGACUGAAUCAUAUUCACGUCUCUGAAUUCCAGUUUUAGCUUUGAUAACCUGAGACAGCCUAAAUCUAUAUGUCAGUUGAAAGGCCAAGGAUUCCGGCACCGGCACGGAAGAUCUUCAUUUCGCAACUGCAGUCUGUAGAGCUUGUCCCAUCGCCAGAAAGAGCGAGACACAACGAUCAAAAUUUGUAUGGAAAAUUUGUUUUAAAUUUAGGAGGAGGAAAAUGUUUUUAUUUAACAAAUGUCUGGAUUCAGGGAACUAUUGAAGACAUAUUACAUGACAAUGACAAUAAAACUAUCGUUAGAUUGCAUGAUGGGACUGGUGUGGCGGAUGUGUUUGGCAUUGAAGAAAUAGUUAGCAGGAACUGGUUCCUGGAGAAGAGCUUCAACAAAGGAAUGCAAGUCAUGGUCACAGGAAUGGUUUUGCAGACAGGCAACAGAAUUCCAUGUAUUCAAGCAUUUAGAAUUUCUGAAUUGCAUGGUUGCACUAUGGAUGACUGGAAUUCACAGGUGGAAAGACUUCAGAAUUACUUAGUACGUAAGACCAAAGAAAAUGCUAGAUAGGCCUAGCUAUUAAAUAUUUAUAUGUAAUGUUAUUGUAAAGUUUUGUUUUUUAGGUGAAUUUCUGUAUACUGGUCAUAAUACUUUUUCUUUGUGUAAAUCUUAUGUUAAGGAUUUUCUUUAGUACAGAAGGACACACUGUUUUGUA